UACGUAGGCAGCGAGCGUUGUUCGGAGUUACUGGGCGUAAAGGGUGUGUAGGCGGUUGUUUAAGUUUGGUGUGAAAUCUCCCGCUCAACCGGGAGGGUGCGCCGAAUACUGAAUGACUUCGAGUGCGGGAGAGGAAAGUGGAAUUCCUGGUGUAGCGGUGAAAUGCGUAGAUAUCAGGAGGAACACCGGUGGUGUAGACGGCUUUCUGGACCGUAACUGACGCUGAGACACGAAAGCGUGGGUAGCAAACAGG
rnacentral:rRNA from 1 species